GAGGUGAGGGAAAGGAGUUUUUUUUUGAGUACGUGUGUUAGGUCUAGUGCCGCCUCAGUGGGUGUGAGGGAGGCGAGAGCGGGGGUGUCGGCGUGUUGGCUGCCGGAGCAGAGGGUGGCGGCGGCGGCGGAGAGGGAGCGUACGGAGCGACCGUGGAGAGGGAGUGGGCGUAGUGGCCGCGGAGAGGGAGAGCCCGGCAACAACGGAGAGGCAACCGGGUCAGCAACAGCGGGGACUACACGGCACCGUGGCACUGGGCCGGAGUGUCCGUGCUGGUCCCACUGUUGUCGAGGGGCUGCGGCGGCGGGAGGCGUUCCUCGUUGCUGUUGAGCUUCGAGACGCCGUGCCGUACGAGACUCGCUACGCGGCGCCCCCGUGGCGGCGGAGUCGGUGGCCGCACCGGCUGGUGGGCAGGUGCAGGGGUAGCGACGGCGGCCGGCCGGUGUGCUGGAGUGCGAGCAGGUCGAGCUUCGUGCGCGGUAGCACCGGGCGGAGGCCGACGAAGUCGUCCGGUUCUUUGGCUUUGCGGGGGGCGCGGGCCGCUGGAGCCGUAGAGGUAGCUGGCAGAGUCGUUCGCGAUGGAGCGGGCCGAGGGCGUAACGACUACGUUCGGUUCUUUGUCCCUCACGGCCGUCAUCAUGAGAUUUAGGUAGUUACGUUGACUUAGGUUUGUACACUUAGUUCAACACCGUCAAACACAAGAAGUGACCACCGUAGCACAAAAAAUGUGACUAUAACUUACCAAGAUGGUGUGUUAAAACCGACGUGCGUGAACCAUACCUGUUGAACAGUCACUGUUUCGAAGCGUACAACUUAAUACGGUCUGUACUUUAAGAUUUGUUCUGUAAUCUUCGAAAACCACUAGAGUUUCUACUACUCCUCGAACCAGGACGACUGGUCCAAUGUCAAUUCUUUAUAUAGUGUCCGAACUCAUUGAACCUUCUACUUGUACGUGUAGGUGUACUACUGUUAGUACUAGUGUAUGUAUGGUACUUAAAUUCCCUACCGGUUCACACGUUCGGUCAAUGACCCGUUACGAACUGCUCCCUGUCUAUUUACGGAGAUAUCGGUUAUAAAACUACGCUAGUCAACUACUUCGAUACAUAGAACAAAGAUCGGCCGGUAAUACGCUAACCUUGUCAAACGUCAGGUUACAGGUAAAGGGUUCAAUGAUAUCCAAGGAAAGACGUUCGUACAAUCGUGUUUCAAAAUAGUGUAUGAAGUGUCAUGUUUCUAACCUCAGUCCUACAAUGUAGACAGGACGUAAAGAAGUACGAGUAUCUUAACGUUCCUCUAAAAUGGUUCUAAAAGAACCAUUUUAGAACCUUUUGAAAAUCUUACGAAAAUACACGAACAAUAAAUGGUGAAGAAAGGAUGGUUAAGGUCUUGAAUCAUAGGUUAGGUACCUAACCUCCGUCAUUUACUUAUAAUCAGUGUGAUGUACCGCGUGUACUGUCUACAAUACGCAUCCACAGGCAGCAAUAUCCGGUAUUCGUCUUGUCUUUCAUCAUAAAACAAUGAACAGCCUCGGUCGAUGUCUGGGAUAAAAAAUUCUAUGCACCUUUCAUCAUACCACGUCUACCUGCGUACCGAGUUUGGUAAAUCGAAAAAUUCCAACUUGAUACAUUUCGAACAGAUUUCAUAGUGGGGAAGUCUCCCUGAUUAUACGUUAUGACUGUACCAUCCAAGAAAACCAAACAAAGAAAACAGGUUUAGGCAAUCCGUGCUAACUACUUUACUAGUUUAUUUUGAGUAAACUAUUACGUGCAAUAAAUGUUUUCGGGGUAUGGACCUCAGUAACCCAUUAUGAGCAGUUACAACACUGAGCCACGCCCUUGCUAAAGACCCUACCUAAGCAACUGUAAAUAUGGGAGUAAUACCGGACAUUGCACCUUCAAUAUACGUUACAACACAAAUAUGGUCUUACUUCCAGUUGUUCUGCCCCAUCUCCCAUAUGGACCUGAAGGAACCCCUACAUCUAGUUGUUCUCCACCAUCUCCAGUUGUACUCUUCUAGUUUAUUCUUGAUAAACUAUUACGUGCAAUAAAUGUUUUCGGGGUAUGGACCUCAUUAACCCAUUAUGAGCAGUUACAACACUGAGCUUACUUCCAGUUGUUCUGCCCCAUCUCCAUUUGGACCUGAAGGAACCCCUACAUCUAGUUGUUCUCCCCCAUCUCCGGUUGUACUCUUCGAUCUCAUCUCCAGGUAAAGUUUCAUUUGACUGUCCUCCUGUUUCGAUGGUUGACGAAUGUCCUUUUCGAACUUGGAUCAGCUCGACCCUUGUGACUAUUUCUUUUCCACAUUGAAUCGAAACAUUUUAAGUC
rnacentral:rRNA from 1 species